rnacentral:rRNA from 1 species
UUGACCUCGAAUCAGGUAGGAAUACCCGCUGAACUUAAGCAUAUCAAUAAGCGGAGGAAAAGAAACCAACCGGGAUUACCUCAGUAACGGCGAGUGAAGCGGUAACAGCUCAAAUUUGAAAUCUGGCUCUUCCGGAGUCCGAGUUGUAAUUUGUAGAAGAUGCUUUGGGUGGUGGGUUCGGCCUAAGUUCCUUGGAACAGGACGUCAUAGAGGGUGAGAAUCCCGUAUGUGGCCGAGGCCCGCGCCUAUGUAAAGCUCUUUCAACGAGUCGAGUUGUUUGGGAAUGCAGCUCAAAAUGGGUGGUAAAUUUCAUCUAAAGCUAAAUAUGGGCCAGAGACCGAUAGCGCACAAGUAGAGUGAUCGAAAGAUGAAAAGCACUUUGGAAAGAGAGUUAAACAGUACGUGAAAUUGUUGAAAGGGAAGCGCUUGCAACCAGACUUGGGCGCUGUCGAUCACCCCGAGUUCUCUCGAGUGCACUCGACAGCGCACAGGCCAGCAUCGGUUCGGGUGGCUGGAUAAAGGCCGUAGGAACGUGGCUCCCUUCGGGGAGUGUUAUAGCCUACGGUGCCAUGCAGCCCAGCCGGACCGAGGACCGCGCCUUCGGGCUAGGAUGCUGGCGUAAUGGUUGUAAGCGACCCGUCUUGAAACACGGACCAAGGAGUCUAACAUCUAUGCGAGUGUUUGGGUGGUAAACCCAUACGCGGAAUGAAAGUGAACGUAGGUGAGAACCCCUUUGGGGCGCAUCAUCGACCGAUCCUGA